rnacentral:rRNA from 1 species
CACGUAGGGGACGAGCGUUGUCCGGAUUCAUUGGGCGUAAAGCGCGCGUAGGCGGCUCGGAAAGUCGGUCGUGAAAUGCCGGGGCUCAACCCCGGGACUGCGUCCGAUACUUCCGGGCUGGAGGUAGGUAGGGGAGAUCGGAAUUCCUGGUGUAGCGGUGAAAUGCGCAGAUAUCAGGAGGAACACCGGUGGCGAAGGCGGCUUCCUGGACCGACACUGACGCUGAGGCGCGAAAGCUAGGGGAGCAAACGGG